rfam:Haemonchus contortus, ISE/inbred ISE, WGS project CAVP01000000 data, contig: Hcontortus_35431
GGCGCAAACUUGAAGUAGAGUACAUUGGUAUGGUCAGAUGAUCGUACUAAUGAACUCUACGUCAAAUUUGGGCCC